GCCCUUCGGGGUACACGAGCGGCGAACGGGUGAGUAACACGUGGGUAACCUGCCCCGUACUCUGGGAUAAGCCUGGGAAACUAGGUCUAAUACCGGAUAUGACUCCGCAUCGCAUGGUGUGGGGUGGAAAGUUCCGGCGGUACGGGAUGGGCCCGCGGCCUAUCAGCUUGUUGGUGGGGUGAUGGCCUACCAAGGCGACGACGGGUAGCCGGCCUGAGAGGGUGACCGGCCACACUGGGACUGAGACACGGCCCAGACUCCUACGGGAGGCAGCAGUGGGGAAUAUUGCACAAUGGGCGAAAGCCUGAUGCAGCGACGCCGCGUGAGGGAUGACGGCCUUCGGGUUGUAAACCUCUUUCAGCAGGGACGAAGCGCGAGUGACGGUACCUGCAGAAGAAGCACCGGCUAACUACGUGCCAGCAGCCGCGGUAAUACGUAGGGUGCGAGCGUUGUCCGGAAUUAUUGGGCGUAAAGAGCUCGUAGGCGGUUUGUUGCGUCGGCCGUGAAAACUUCACGCUUAACGUGGAGCCUGCGGUCGAUACGGGCAGACUUGAGUUCGGCAGGGGAGACUGGAAUUCCUGGUGUAGCGGUGAAAUGCGCAGAUAUCAGGAGGAACACCGGUGGCGAAGGCGGGUCUCUGGGCCGAUACUGACGCUGAGGAGCGAAAGCGUGGGGAGCGAACAGGAUUAGAUACCCUGGUAGUCCACGCCGUAAACGGUGGGUGCUAGGUGUGGGGGGCUUCCACGUCCUCCGUGCCGCAGCUAACGCAUUAAGC
rnacentral:rRNA from 1 species